AUACGUAGGUGACAAGCGUUAUCCGGAUUUACUGGGCGUAAAGGGCGUGUAGGCGGUCUUGCAAGUCAGAAGUGAAAUUCCUGAGCUCAACUCGGGCGCUGCUUCUGAAACUGCAGGACUUGAGUGCUGGAGGGGAUAGCGGAAUUCCUAGUGGAGCGGUAAAAUGCGCAGAUAUUAGGGAGAACACCGGUGGCGAAGGCGGCUAUCUGGACAAUAACUGACGCUGGAGCGCGAAAGCGUGGGGUGCAAACAGGAUUAUAUACCUUGGUAGUCCACGCCGUAAACGAUGAAUACUAGGUGUAGUGGGUAUCGACUCCCUCUGUGCCGCAGUUAACACAAUAAGUAUUCCGCCUGGGGAGUACGGCCGCAAGGUUGAAACUCAAAUGAAUUGACGGGU
rnacentral:rRNA from 1 species